CGGUUGGCGGGCUGAACCAUUGAAAAUAGCGCCACGGUGAGUGGCAUUUUGCUUCGGUGACAGGCAGCACGCCGGGUGGUGGCUGCAGGCGGUGUUGCGUGUCUAAUCGCUUCGUGGCGAGCUGAAAAAGGGAAGUAAUUCUAGGUAGAAGCAAAAACCUGGUAGAGAUUAACAACAUGUGGCAGGUUAGCUGAUUUCUGCUGCAGAGCAUGCGUUAGGUGAUCAAUAUCAGUGGCUAAUCAGGGGCAGGAGAUUCAAUCCUUAUUUGUUGCCUGCUGACACGGAGCAGUGGUACAUCAGAAAUUCAUGUAAUGUGAGCAAUUGCUAUUCUUAUCUCGUCCAACUGCUUCCUCCCAGAUAACUAGCCUCAUGCUUUCCAGACUGAUUGUUCAAUAAUAUGGA